GGCCGGUUCAAUACACAACUAUUAGCCCCUGUCAGACUGAUUAAACAACUGAAGAUGAAGUUUAAAGAUGUCUGGGCUGAGACCGAGAGAGAGAGAAAUCGAGAUGCUACCUCAGACGACUCGCUCGUCUGCUCUCUCACCACCAUUCCUUUGCUUUUCAGUCAUUAUUCAUCUGCUACCCCUCCCACUUUCUCUCGUUCGCUCCUGGACUAUGUUUGAUUCAUGCCAGAGAUGAUGCACACUUCACCAUAUCCGGCAUGAGGGAACUCUCACUCUCCAUCCAUAAUUCAGAUCCCCCCUUUCUCUCUUUCCCUGUGUGUGUGUGCGCGCGCAUCUCCAUCCUCUCAUACACUGCCUGUGUCUUGUGCAGCUGUCGAUGCAUGGGGUAGAAGAUUGUGCCGUAUAGAAGACUGGGAUCCAUGAAAGCACACAGAAGUUCAAACGACAGGUGGGUAGACGGUCUUACCUCUGUGCCUCCUACGAAUCCAUUUGCGGAGCCCUUAAAGACCUCUUUGGAGAGCGGGUUGCUGUGGAUACGGUUAACUCAGUUGACGAAAGUUUGUGAUGACAGCUGCACCCUCCAAUGCCACUGGAAAAAAUCAAGCUUUUGUUUUGUCAGACUAGCUCUAUUUAAAAGGUUGACUGAAGCAUCAAAUGUAAAAGGGGGUUGAUAUUGCGUAACAUUUAUUAAAAUAAAUUUGAAGGCCAUUCAGUUUAAGUAGCUUAAAAUGUUAGAAAGCAAGAACUUACAAUGACAAGUUUGGUGGUGAGGUUGCACAUCAUGAUGACAAAAAUAUGUUUUAUUCAGAAAUAACAUGUUUUAGCUCUAUGUAGUGUUUUUGAAGGCAAUUUUUUUUUUUUUUUUUUUUUUUUUUUUCAACAGCAGUGUUAUAGUAAAAAAAACAACAAUAAAAUAAAACAUUUUCUUAAUGAUAAUAAAAUAACACUGAAACUUUCUUUGGUGUAGAAAUAAUUCCUGUACAUUUUCAAUUUGCUCACCAAA
rnacentral:lncRNA from 12 species